rnacentral:lncRNA from 1 species
CUCUGGAUUGAAGACUACUGAGAUCAAGAUAACAUUUACUGGUAUCAAGUGGGUCUUGGUUUUGACCAAGAAAACUGAACUCUUUUAUAUAGUUAGCUUUCAAUAGCCUUAUGUCUCUCUUAGGCCCUGAUGCAGAAACCCCUUCUUGUAAUUUCAAACAAACAGUCAAGGAAAUCUCAAGAACCAAAAAGAAAAAAAAAUCAAAUUAAGAGAUAAAAUUGCAGAAAAAAUCAAGGAUAUGAAGAACGAGGAUGUUGGAGGGUUUGUCAUAGGCGAUAACUUGAGCUUCAAACUCGUCACCUAAAGUAGUCUUGAUGGAUAAAGCGCAUCCAAUUGCGAAC